GGACAUGCAGCUUAGUGGCCUUAGCUUUGCAAAAGCUAAUGAAAAGAUUUACUCUUUCAUGUCCU
rnacentral:tRNA from 1 species